ACGAGAAAUGCUCAAUGGCGACCAUGUCGACAAAAACUCAUCAACCCGAAUAGUAUAGUGUUGCGUCAAUGAAGAUAAUACUGCCUCUUUUUGGCACGCAGCAUCCAUUCAAUGAAAAACAGCAGUAGCAACAAUAACAACAACAAUUGGUGAACCCUACGCUACCAGCUGAAGGUUAUACGAAAGCGGACCGCUAUCACUGAAUUUGAUGGAAACAAGGUUAAAAAAAAAAAGAAGCGUGAAUAACAUCAACGAUGAGGAACGAAAGGUGUGAGUAAGUGAAGGGUGAGAAGCCAACGAGCUCGGCCGAAAAGCGCCAUCACGUUGACGAUUCAUUGUCUCGUACCUGAGUAAGUGAGCAAGGUUUAAUGAGUCGGGCCAGUGAACUCUCGAGAGGCACAAUAACGCCAGGAUUAGAAGCGUAGUCUGCAGGCGGCCGUUUCGUCAAGGAGAAUGAUUUUCGUCAAGGUUACGACCCUUCUGCCCAUUGGCGUGCUGCUUGCCACUUCGCACCCGGGUCACACCACGAGGACGUUUCUGCAUCUUCAGACCACACUGAUGUUGCGAUCAAAGCACGAAUCCGGAUUCAUGGCACUCCGAGACGAGCGUUUGAAUACAGCUUCUUAUUGAGUUGCUUUGGAGAAGCUUGCUUUUGCGUUUGGGACUUCUAUGUUAUCUGAUGAUAACGACCAACACUAAUUGGUGCCGUUCGACACACACAACUGUUCAUUUGCUUUGUACUGAAGCGGUAAUGGCUGAAGCCGGCCUUGUUCCCAAGAGAACUUCACUUGCCAUCCAAAUGGACCGUGCGUCCUUAAAGCGCUUAUUCAACUGAAAUUCCAUUUUAACAAAACGUCGUCAGGUGAACUUCUCUAAAAUUGUAUUGAUCGAUAUAGACGCGAACGGAAGUCGACUUCUCGUCACAGUCGCAGAAAAAGGAACGACUGCUGUUAACUAGCUAAACUACGAUAAGAAAAUAGCCAUUGGCUGGUGUGUCGUUCUACAGGGCGAGCUAAAAUAUGUUUUGUCUAAAGAAUAGAAAGGAACUUACAUUCACUUUAGUUUUUCCUCCAUAGCGCUGUACGAGAAGUGGUCAUACAUUCAAGUCAACCUCUGCAACAUUAUCGCAUCUAUGACAAUAUAAUUUGAAAAAAAAAGUAUCACAUAAACGCCAAGUUUGGAUUUCGGAAUGAUGUUAUUGAGUAUUGUUUUUGUCUUAUAGUGAUAUGUAUAUACACACGAACGAUUACAUGAAAUGUCGCAAUGUGCCAGUCCCUAUCGAGUAUAAUGUUGAUGCCGGCUCAAGCACAAACUCUACCUUAUGGAGAACUUCCUGUGCUUCCUGUCUAUGGACGUUUAGCAUUAGGUGAAUUAUCGUUUAUGUCUUAUCUAGUGUAUCUAGAUGGAUUCAUGUAAAUCCAUCUACAGGUAGCAACAAACCAUUAUCACGUCAGCGGUCCUUUAAGGCCUUAUUCCUUCAACUUCCGUUUGUAUAGACAAAGAAUGGAAUCAUUCAAUUAUAUUUACAUUGAAGCUAAUAGAAUUAUAAUGAUGAUAUGGCGCUUUGUCCGUACCUACCACAUUCGCUCGUCAAAGAAAACAAUAAAACUAAUGUAGUAUAGUCCUGUUCUAACAUCCAAACAUAGAAAUGGGUCAGACUUAAACAGGGCAGAGCCAACAUUACUGUCCAAGUUAUCUAAUAGGAGCACGGGGAUUGUUGCAAACGGCGCUAUUUUCUUAGUUGUAUCGUUCUGGGGUUGUCUCGGACUCGCGACCACUACAGAAGCUAUAUAUAACAGCUGAGUACUAAUAUGCCAACACUAAUGAAAUUCAUAAUCCAACCAAU